UCAAGUCGAGCUUCUUCUUUCACUGUGUUCAGUCUCUGCCAUCAAUUGCUUUUCUCAUUCUUCCUGUUAGCUCUCGCCUCACUUUCAUAUCUAACUUUCCUCUUCCAUCAUGGUCUGCCUCAAACUCGCCAUGAAAGGAGUGAUUUGAAAUGUCGAUGGAUCUUCGCCGUUCAAGCUCAACGAAAAAGAGCUUUGAAGAUCUGUCAUGGGAUGAGCUAAUGGGCUAUAUAGUCAACGAUUCUCUUGAUGGGGAAGAAGAUAUACCCCGAGUCAACUUCUCUGGAGAGGUGAUGUCUCUGAAUCAGAAGAUUUCGUGGGCACCUCGUCCAAAGGAUUCUUUGCUUGGGUCUUCCAAUUUUUCCGACAUUGAGGUGGUGCAGAAAAAGCAAGUCCAGUCCUCUAAUUUAAAACGAAAAGGCAAUGAAGGACAGUGAACAAGUGAGCAGCGGCAACGACAAUGGCACAUCUAACCGGUGAAGAGAAAGAUAAAAGAGGAAGAUUGUCCACCCAUUCGAUCUAAACAAAUUUCCAUUUAUAGAGGAAGAUUAUGCACAUUUGACUGAGGAAGAGAAAGCCCGUGGACAUUCUCACACAUGGGAGGAGCAUUUAAGUUCAAAAAAAUGGUGUUGUUGUCCCCACUAUCUUCCUUAUUGGUUGGAGCAUUUAAAUCAAAGGAGAAGGAGCAAUUUUCCAUGGUAGAGAAGGAGCACUUUUCCAUGGUGGAAAAGUGCAGUUUUUGUGCCUUUCUUUUCUGUUAUUUUUAAUGUUGUCUGAUUCCCUUUUAGUGGGAUAUAAGUUUCUCAAAAUGUGAAACACUACUUCUAAUUUUUCAGUCCCGUGAGAAGGCUCAAUUUUUCAUUGUAAAAGUCUCAUUUUCACUAUAAAAGGCUCUAUUCCCGCCAAAAGUCUCAUACUAUUACUGUAAAAGUCUCAUGCUUGAUAAAGCAUGAGAGAAAAAUUUUGAAAAUAAUAAUUUAUUCAUU